rnacentral:misc_RNA from 1 species
UUGAAUAAACUUGGUUGGGUUGUUGCUGGCUUUUCGGAGCAUGUGCACGCCUAGCGCCAUUUUUACCACCUGUGCACUUCUUGUAGAUUUGAAACACCUCUCGAGGCAACUCGGUUUGAGGAUUGCUGUGCGAAAGCCCGGCUUUCCUUGCGUUUCAAGUCUAUGUUUUUACAUACCCCAUAAGAAUGUUUUAGAAUGUCAUUAAUGGGCUUGACAGCCUCUAAAUUAAUA